UGGGGAAUAUUGCGCAAUGGGGGGAACCCUGACGCAGCCAUGCCGCGUGAAUGAAGAAGGCCUUCGGGUUGUAAAGUUCUUUCGGUAUUGAGGAAGGUUGAUGUGUUAAUAGCACAUCAAAUUGACGUUAAAUACAGAAGAAGCACCGGCUAACUCCGUGCCAGCAGCCGCGGUAAUACGGAGGGUGCGAGCGUUAAUCGGAAUAACUGGGCGUAAAGGGCACGCAGGCGGUUAUUUAAGUGAGGUGUGAAAGCCCCGGGCUUAACCUGGGAAUUGCAUUUCAGACUGGGUAACUAGAGUACUUUAGGGAGGGGUAGAAUUCCACGUGUAGCGGUGAAAUGCGUAGAGAUGUGGAGGAAUACCGAAGGCGAAGGCAGCCCCUUGGGAAUGUACUGACGCUCAUGUGCGAAAGCGUGGGGAGCAAACAGGAUUAGAUACCCUGGUAGUCCACGCUGUAAACGCUGUCGAUUUGGGGGUUGGGGUUUAACUCUGGCGCCCGUAGCUAACGUGAUAAAUCGACCGCCUGGGGAGUACGGCUGCAAGGUUA
rnacentral:rRNA from 1 species